rnacentral:rRNA from 1 species
AGCUGGCAUUAGAUGCUGUGGCUUCAGCAAAACCAGGCUUCCUUGGUACGUAGAAGCUAAGCAGAGUCAGCCAUGGUUAGUAAUAGGAUGGGAGACCACCAGGAAAAGCCAGUGUUGUAUCUA